rnacentral:rRNA from 1 species
AUUGAACGCUAGCGGGAUGCUUUACACAUGCAAGUCGAACGAGUGGCGGACGGGUGGGUAAUAUAUCGGAACGUGCCCAGUAGCGGGGGAUAACUACUCGAAAGAGUGGCUAAUACCGCAUACUAUUGGAGCGGCUGAUAUCGGAUUAGCUAGUUUGUGGGGUAAAGGCUCACCAAGGCAACGAUCCGUAGCUGGUUUGAGAGGAAGACCAGCCACACUGGGACUGAGACACGGCCCAGACUCCUACGGGAGGCAGAAGUGGGGAAUUUUGGACAAUGGAGGAAACCCUGAUCCAGCCAUCCCGCGUGUAUGAGAAGGCUUUCGGGUUGUAAAGUACUUUUGGCAGAGAAGCGGUAUCUAACCAGAAAGCCACGGCUAACUACGUGCCAGCAGCCGCGGUAAUAC